UACGUAGGGUGCAAGCGUUAAUCGGAAUUACUGGGCGUAAAGCGUGCGCAGGCGGCUAUGCAAGACAGAUGUGAAAUCCCCGGGCUCAACCUGGGAACUGCAUUUGUGACUGCAUGGCUAGAGUACGGUAGAGGAUGGAAUUCCGCGUGUAGCAGGUGAAAUGCGUAGAUAUGCGGAGGAACACCGAUGGCGGAAGGCAAUCCCUGGACCUGUACUGACGCUCAUGCACGAAAGCGUGGGGAGCAACAGG
rnacentral:rRNA from 1 species